UACGAAGGGGGCUAGCGUUGCUCGGAUUGACUGGGCGUAAAGGGCGCGUAGGCGGUUUGUACAGUCAGACGUGAAAUUCCUGGGCUCAACCUGGGGGCUGCGUUUGAUACGUGCGGACUUGAGUUCGGAAGAGGGUCGUGGAAUUCCCAGUGUAGAGGUGAAAUUCGUAGAUAUUGGGAAGAACACCGGUGGCGAAGGCGGCGACCUGGUCCGAUACUGACGCUGAGGCGCGAAAGCGUGGGGAGCAAACAGG
rnacentral:rRNA from 1 species